UGGAUUGUAGCUUAACCGGCAAAGCACCGCGCUGUGAAUGCGGCGACUGCGAGUUCAAAUCUCGUCAAUCCACCCA
rnacentral:tRNA from 1 species